rnacentral:rRNA from 1 species
UACGUAGGGGGCGAGCGUUGUCCGGAAUCAUUGGGCGUAAAGCGCGUGUAGGCGGCCCGGUAAGUCUGCUGUGAAAGUCCAGGGCUCAACCCUGGGAUGCCGGUGGAUACUGUCGGGCUCGAGUCCGGAAGAGGCGAGUGGAAUUCCUGGUGUAGCGGUGAAAUGCGCAGAUAUCAGGAGGAACACCAAUGGCGAAGGCAGCUCGCUGGGACGUGACUGACGCUGAGACGCGAAAGCGUGGGGAGCAAACAGG